rnacentral:rRNA from 1 species
GACGAACGCUGGCGGCGUGCCUAAUACAUGCAAGUCGAACGAACCGCGACUAAGUGCUUGCACUAAGUCAAGGUGAGUGGCGAACGGGUGAGUAACACGUGGGUAACCUACCUCAUAGUGGGGGAUAACAGUCGGAAACGACUGCUAAUACCGCAUAGGACAUAGGAUCACAUGAUCCAGGGAGGAAAGGUGGCGCAAGCUAUCGCUAAGAGAUGGACCCGCGGUGCAUUAGCUAGUUGGUAGGGUAAAGGCCUACCAAGGCGAUGAUGCAUAGCCGACCUGAGAGGGUGAUCGGCCACAUUGGGACUGAGACACGGCCCACACUCCUACGGGAGGCAGCAGUAGGGAAUCUUCCGCAAAGGACGCAAGUCUGACGGAGCAACGCCGCGUGAGUGAAGAAGGUCUUCGGAUCGUAAAGCUCUGUUGUUAGAGAAGAACAGCGCAUAGAGUAACUGCUAUGCGUGUGACGGUAUCUAACCAGAAAGCCACGGCUAACUACGUG